rnacentral:rRNA from 1 species
UACGGGGGGGCAAGCGUUGUUCGGAAUUACUGGGCGUAAAGGGCUCGUAGGCGGCCAACUAAGUCAGACGUGAAAUCCCUCGGCUUAAACCGGGGAACUGCGUCUGAUACUGGAUGGCUUGAGAUUGGGAGAGGAUGCGGAAUUCCAGGUGUAGCGGUGAAAUGCGUAGAUAUCUGGAGGAACACCGGUGGCGAAGGCGGCAUCCUGGACCAACACUGACGCUGAGGAGCGAAAGCCAGGGAGCAAACGGG